UAUCACCAAGGGAAUGCUGGGAUUGAUUUUGGGGGUAAUUGCCUCCAAAUUUUAGGAAUUAGGGGCCAAAAAAGGGGCAAAAAACAAGCAUUUUUCUAGUUUCAUGACAAUAACUUGUGUGUAAGUGUAUGGAUCUUUCUGAAAUUGUACUACAAGGUUCCAUAUCACAAAGGGAAAGCUGGGUUUGAGUUUGGGGGUAAUUGCCCUAAACGUUUAGGAAUUUGGGGCCAAAAAGGGGCCAAAAAACAAGCAUCUUUCUAGUUUCCAGACAAUAACUUGUGUUCAAGUGUAUGGAUCUUUAUGAAAUUGUACUACAAGGUUCCAUAUCACAAAGGGAAAGCUGGAAUUGAGUUUGGGGGUAAUUGCCCAAAACGUUUAGGAAUAAGGGGCCAAAAAGGGGCCAAAAAUAAGCAUUUUUCUAGUUUCCAGACAAUUACUUGUGUUCAAAUCUAUGGAUCUAUCUUAAAUUGUACUGCAAGGUACCAUACCACAAAGGGAAGGCUGGGAUUGAUUUUGGGGGUAAUUGCCUCAAAACGUUAAGGAAUUAGGGGCCAAAAAGGGGCCAAAAAUAAGCAUUUUUCUUGUUUCCAGACAAUAACUUGUGUUCAAAUGUAUGGAUCUCUCUGAAAUUGUACUGCAAGGUACCAUACCACAAAGAAAGGCUGGGAUUGAUUUUGGGGGUAAUUGCCCUAAACGUUUAGGAAUUAGGGGCCAAAAAACAA